AGCUUUGCGCAGUGGCAGUAUCGUAGCCAAUGAGGUUUAUCCGAGGUGCGAUUAUUGCUAAUUAAAAAAGCACAAAGAAAAAGUUACAUAAUGGAAGAUCAGGUCGACUUUUUUCUUAGAAAAUUAUUUAAACUCAUCCGUAA